GCCGACGUGGCAGAAUCCGGUAUCGCGCUAGACUCGAGAUCUAGUGCCCUUCGGGGCUUAGGAGUUCAAUGCCAAUCCCUUUUCUUGGAAAGAAAAGGUCUUGGCGAACCCCAAAAGAAGUUGGGGAAACGAACAAAUCUCCUCGUCGGCG
rnacentral:tRNA from 1 species